rnacentral:rRNA from 1 species
GGAGUCACGCCAGAAAUCUUACCCGGAGAGACAGCAGAAUGAAGGUCAAGCUGAAGACUUUACCAGACAAGCUGAGAGGUGGUGCAUGGCCGUCGCCAGCUCGUGCCGUGAGACGUCCUGUUAAGUCAGGUAACGAGCGAGAUCCCUGCCGCUAGUUGCUAUCAUUAUUCUCAGGAAUAGUGGAGCGAAUUAGUGGGACUGCCGUUGUUAAAACGGAGGAAGGAAGGGGCUACGGCAGGUCAGUAUGCCCCGAAACUCUGGGGCCACACGCGGGCUGCAAUGGUAGUGACAAUGAGUUCCAAACUCGAAAGAGAGUGGCAAUCUCUAAACGCUACCACAGUUAUGACUGAGGGCUGUAACUCGCCCUCACGAAUAUGGAAUCCCUAGUAACCGCGUGUCAUUACCGCGCGGUGAAUACGUCCCUGCUCCUUGCACACACCGCCCGUCGUUUCAUCAAAGUUUGCUUUUAACGAGGUGAUGUUUAAUUGGCAUUAUCGAAUUUGAGGUAAGCGACGAGGGAAAAGUCGUAACAAGGUGUCCGUAGGGGAACCUGCGGACGGAUCA